AGCUUGCUACCUGACCUAGCGGCGGACGGGUGAGUAAUGCUUAGGAAUCUGCCUAUUAGUGGGGGACAACAUUCCGAAAGGAAUGCUAAUACCGCAUACGCCCUACGGGGGAAAGCAGGGGAUCUUCGGACCUUGCGCUAAUAGAUGAGCCUAAGUCAGAUUAGCUAGUUGGUGGGGUAAAGGCCUACCAAGGCGACGAUCUGUAGCGGGUCUGAGAGGAUGAUCCGCCACACUGGGACUGAGACACGGCCCAGACUCCUACGGGAGGCAGCAGUGGGGAAUAUUGGACAAUGGGCGAAAGCCUGAUCCAGCCAUGCCGCGUGUGUGAAGAAGGCCUUUUGGUUGUAAAGCACUUUAAGCGAGGAGGAGGCUACUUGGAUUAAUACUCUAGGAUAGUGGACGUUACUCGCAGAAUAAGCACCGGCUAACUCUGUGCCAGCAGCCGCGGUAAUACAGAGGGUGCGAGCGUUAAUCGGAUUUACUGGGCGUAAAGCGUGCGUAGGCGGCUUUUUAAGUCGGAUGUGAAAUCCCUGAGCUUAACUUAGGAAUUGCAUUCGAUACUGGGAAGCUAGAGUAUGGGAGAGGAUGGUAGAAUUCCAGGUGUAGCGGUGAAAUGCGUAGAGAUCUGGAGGAAUACCGAUGGCGAAGGCAGCCAUCUGGCCUAAUACUGACGCUGAGGUACGAAAGCAUGGGGAGCAAACAGGAUUAGAUACCCUGGUAGUCCAUGCCGUAAACGAUGUCUACUAGCCGUUGGGGCCUUUGAGGCUUUAGUGGCGCAGCUAACGCGAUAAGUAGACCGCCUGGGGAGUACGGUCGCAAGACUAAAACUCAAAUGAAUUGACGGGGGCCCGCACAAGCGGUGGAGCAUGUGGUUUAAUUCGAUGCAACGCGAAGAACCUUACCUGGUCUUGACAUAGUAAGAACUUUCCAGAGAUGGAUUGGUGCCUUCGGGAACUUACAUACAGGUGCUGCAUGGCUGUCGUCAGCUCGUGUCGUGAGAUGUUGGGUUAAGUCCCGCAACGAGCGCAACCCUUUUCCUUAUUUGCCAGCGGGUUAAGCCGGGAACUUUAAGGAUACUGCCAGUGACAAACUGGAGGAAGGCGGGGACGACGUCAAGUCAUCAUGGCCCUUACGACCAGGGCUACACACGUGCUACAAUGGUCGGUACAAAGGGUUGCUACCUAGCGAUAGGAUGCUAAUCUCAAAAAGCCGAUCGUAGUCCGGAUUGGAGUCUGCAACUCGACUCCAUG
rnacentral:rRNA from 1 species